CAGGAACCCUGUAUGGUGCCCCCUCACGGGCAUCACGUAGAUCUGAUAAAUGUAAUAUUGCGGAUAAUAUCGUAUGGGUCAAUUUGACUUAUUAUCUCAAAGGUCUCCUGUCAAACGUCGAUGUGAAAUUACAAGCUGCAGGACAAACGUUGACGCCAGCCAUACACGUAACAUGGUGACCGUCGCACGAUGACGUCAUGUGAGAUUACGCGUAGUGUAGCCAUGCGUGUACCACCCGUGAUGAAAAAACAAUAUUCAUAUACAGGCUUCGGAUGUCCAUGUCACAGACGUGAUGUUGUCAGCAGGAGGCAGCUUUCUACGAAAAUCCCUUGUGCAGAUCAUCCUCCUCUUUCUUAUCAUUAAGGAUGCCUCUAUCACAAAUUCUAUGUCUAUUCCAAAUAAUGUCAAAGAAAAUAUCACAAACAUCAAUGAUACGACGGUCCAAUCACAUUCCACGCAGGCAGACCGCUGUAUACAUUGUUAUUUACCAUCUGGCGAAGACUUCCAACAUAACGCCUUCAUUAAAAGGCCCCCGGAGACCUACGUAGCAUUUAAAGAGAGCACAGCUGUAUUCGAAUGCAUUCCGAGUUUAUUUAACAUCUCUAGCGAUGACGUCACAGUCACGUGGACAAUUCCAUUUUCAGUUCCGGUGACGUCAUAUGAUAAACUACAUUCCGAGGAUGCAACAGGAGCAUUUAUAACCCCAAACAGCUCAAUUUUGAUUAUGAAAAAUGUACAGCCUGAAUUCUCCGGAAUUUAUCAGUGUGUUGUUGAGACCUCGGAGAGUACACUAAUAGCGGAGAUGAACUUGAUUGUACGGAUAUAUGUGAUCGAUCUAUACAGCUGGCUCAUCGCCGGAAUUCCCGGAUUUUUGCUCGUAUCCAUGUGUGUUGUCAUUACGUUCUUUUAUUGCAAAAUUGAGAAAAACCGAAGGGAGUUCUACCGAGCACGAAGAAUUAUUAAAGAACAACAAGUAUUGUACAAGUACUGACACAUGUAAAUUUUAUAAUUGCAUAUUUAUAACUAUUGUGAAUUUAUCUGACCUUCCGUCCUAUGGAUUUAGCGUUAUUUUACAAAUUCAAAUCAAUAAAAUUCAGGAAAAUUGGUAUAUUUAUCAUUUUAUUAGUCCCCUGCCUAUGAAACCGGAGGACUAUAUGUUUCCUCCACGUCUGUCUGUCAAUCCGUCAACUCAGUUUUUCACACUUUUAUCAGCCAUGCUUCAAGGAAUAUUGGUGGAAGUUAGCAUGUAACCUUAGUAUGAGAAGCUUUCAAAUAUAUUUGUUAAUAGGUGAUCAUCAUAGACUAAAUAAUAUGAUUAUAAUCGGAUCUACAUCAGUUGACUAAGUGUUCUAGCUCUUUUCUAUUAUAUCUGCAAAUUCUGUGAUUUCAUUUCCAAAGAGUGAACCAAUGAAAAGUUUUGAAAUCUAAAAUCUAAAUAAGCCAUCCUUCACCUGGUCAUAGUGCGUUAUUUUGUCAUCAUUUUUUGGUAUAAUUUCUGCCUGAGCUCCGGUGAACUAGUUUAUAUUUCAACAUUAUCAUAAACUCAAGGCAACUGUUGUCUCUCUAUAUAUUGUAUGUUAUUAAAGUUCGUUUGGUUUCACUCCGUACACCGAUCAUAUAGAUCUUUCGUGUUUUGUUCUGCCUGUCAGUCAGUUUUUAUUAAUCUUCAUGGUUUACUAUGUAGUUUAUUUAUAUAAUCAUUGAUUUGACGUCAUCGUUCGUAUUUGUGUAGUUCUUAACUUGAGUAAUUUUGAUUAUUUUCUUUUUUUUACAUAGCUGUAUUGUGUACUUGAGCCUUAUUCUUUGUAGAUUUAUACGAAUCUGCCAAGUGCUCGUAUUGUUUAUAAUUUGAUUAGGUUACCUAUGUGAACGUCAAAUAAGGAUCAGACUAUCAGUUCAAAAGAUCGGGACAAUGUUAUCAGAAACACGAUACACAAAUUAUCUGCUUUUCACAGCUUCAACAUGUGGUGUUGUUGGGUCAUAAUGACAUUACGUAAUCCCAACACAAUUUUAUUUAUGUUUUAUUAUUGUUAUUUUUUCGUAAUCUUAUGAUGGACAAAUGGCCUUUGUAUGAUGAAAGAUUUAUCCCUUUGAACAUUUUCAAAUCAUUCAUUUUUCACCUUAAACACUUUCGUGCAGUUUUUUCCUCCCGAUUUCACAUAGUUGCUACACCUUACGUACCAAAGCGUUCCAGUUCUGUCUUUUGUUUCUCGGUGUCGUUUUGAUAUAGAUACGUCGAUCAGUUACAUAUAAGUUACAUAUACCAUUAUUGUGUGUUAAUUCCUGUAGCUUGAAGUUUUAUUAAUGAUAUUGUAAUAGUCAUCUUGUGAUCAAGCGCGAAAAAAAAAUGAAGAAAGCCCUUUAAGAAGUAUAUAUUACUAUUAAACGCACCUUAUAAUGUGAACUCCGAGAGAUGUGAAGUUGUUAAUUUUCAUUUGCAUGUUAUCCUCAAAGAAAGAACUUUAAGCUACAAACAAGUGUCUUGAAUAACAACAUGUUCAAGAUUAAGAUGUUUGAGCAAUAAAGUAUUUUUGGUGUUU